rnacentral:lncRNA from 1 species
AAGCAGAAUGGAUCAUGGGCAGCUGAGCUGCAACAAACCAGCAGGACUUUCUGUGAAAUCAUUGACCACCAUAUACUCCUUAAGUCUCCAGAGUUAACUCCUAAUUCUCAGCACCUGAGAGCCAAAGUGAACCAUCAGGAGCCACAGGUACUCACUGUCUUAGCCCUGCUGAACUGUCUGACAAAGACAGACUGGCAUGUUCUUCAGUUACAUGCUGCAGACAGGCCUUCUCUACUUUGGGGGAAAGUGAACACUGCCAGUACCAAAUUCAUAUUUGCCUACUUAGCAUCCUAGGAGGAAGCUGAAGAAAACGUCUUUCCAACAGGACCUAGAAAUCAAUCCCAGUAAAAGACUGUGGCUCCUGUCAUGUGAUCACAGAUGGACCAUUUGCUGGGUCUGAAAAGCCUAAGUCAUGUGAACAUCCCUGUUGUAACAACAAAAGAAAGUACUAAUAUCAGAAAAAAAAGAUGGAAGAACUUUCCAGACAAAUAAAAACUAAAAUAUUUGCCUUUUCCUAGGAUUCUUAUUUUUCUUAUCAAUUGCAUUAUUGAAUAACCUAACACUUAGGUUUAGUCCUUUUCCCACCUCAGCUUAAGUGGCUGGGCAUGAUAUUCCAAUUUUAUCCUGGAAGCAAAAUCAAUGAUCAGAAGACUAUAUCUAGAAUGUCAUUAAAAAUUAUUAGACUGAAAAUUACAAUACCUUUAUAAAAACAAUAGUAAAGUAACUACCUUACAGUGUCAAUUUGAGAACUAAAUUAGGUGAUAUAUAUAGAUUCUUUAGAAUAGUUCC